AGCGAACGCUGGCGGCAGGCUUAACACAUGCAAGUCGAGCGGGCAUCCUUGUGGUGUCAGCGGCAGACGGGUGAGUAACGCGUGGGAACGUGCCCUUCGGUUCGGAAUAACUCAGGGAAACUUGAGCCAAUACCGGAUACGUGCGAGAGCAGAAAGGUUUAUCUGCCGAAGGAUCGGCCCGCGUCUGAUUAGCUAGUUGGUGAGGUUAUGGCUCACCAAGGCGACGAUCAGUAGCUGGUCUGAGAGGAUGAUCAGCCACACUGGGACUGAGACACGGCCCAGACUCCUACGGGAGGCAGCAGUGGGGAAUAUUGGACAAUGGGGGCAACCCUGAUCCAGCCAUGCCGCGUGAGUGAUGACGGCCUUAGGGUUGUAAAGCUCUUUUCUCCGGGACGAUAAUGACGGUACCGGAGGAAUAAGCCCCGGCUAACUUCGUG
rnacentral:rRNA from 1 species